rnacentral:rRNA from 1 species
UACGUAGGGUGCAAGUGUUAAUCGGAAUUACUGGGCGUAAAGCGUGCGCAGGCGGUUGUGCAAGACCGAUGUGAAAUCCCCGGGCUUAACCUGGGAAUGGCAUUGGUGACUGCACGGCUAGAGUGUGUCAGAGGGGGGUAGAAUUCCACGUGUAGCAGUGAAAUGCGUAGAGAUGUGGAGGAAUACCGAUGGCGAAGGCAGCCCCCUGGGAUAACACUGACGCUCAUGCACGAAAGCGUGGGGAGCAAACAGG